UAGGGAAUCUUCGGCAAUGGGGGGAACCCUGACCGAGCAACGCCGCGUGAGUGAAGAAGGUUUUCGGAUCGUAAAGCUCUGUUGUUAAGGAAGAACGAGUGUGAGAAUGGAAAGUUCAUGCUGUGACGGUACUUAACCAGAAAGGGACGGCUAACUACGUGCCAGCAGCCGCGGUAAUACGUAGGUCCCGAGCGUUGUCCGGAUUUAUUGGGCGUAAAGCGAGCGCAGGCGGUUAGAAAAGUCUGAAGUGAAAGGCAGUGGCUCAACCAUUGUAGGCUUUGGAAACUGUUUAACUUGAGUGCAGAAGGGGAGAGUGGAAUUCCAUGUGUAGCGGUGAAAUGCGUAGAUAUAUGGAGGAACACCGGUGGCGAAAGCGGCUCUCUGGUCUGUAACUGACGCUAAAGCUCGAAGGUGCGGGUAUCGAACAGG
rnacentral:rRNA from 1 species